rnacentral:tRNA from 1 species
GGAGACGUGCCUGAGUGGCCGAAAGGGGCACCCUGCUAAGGUGUUGAUUGCGCAAGCGAUCCAAGAGUUCGAAUCUCUUCGUCUCCGCGA